AGAAUCAACGCUGGCGGCGUGCCUAACACAUGCAAGUCGAACGAGAAAGUGGAGCAAUCCAUGAGUAAAGUGGCGACCGGGUGAGUAACACGUGACUAACCUACCUUCGAGUGGGGGAUAACCUCGGGAAACCGAGGCUAAUACCGCAUAACAUCGCAAGAUCAAAGCAGCAAUGCGCUGGAAGAGGGGGUCGCGGCUGAUUAGCUAGUUGGCGGGGUAACGCCCACAAGGCGAAGAUCGGUAGCCGGCCUGAGAGGGCGCACGGCCGACACUGGAACUGAAACACGGUCCAGACUCCUACGGGAGGCAGCAGUGGGGAAUUUGCGCAAUGGGGGAAACCCUGACGCAGCAACGCCGCGUGGAGGAUGAAGCCCCUUGGGGCGUAAACUCCUUUCGACCAAGACGAUAAUGACGGUACUGGUGGAAGAAGCACCGGCUAACUCUGUGCCAGCAGCCGC
rnacentral:rRNA from 1 species